rnacentral:rRNA from 1 species
GAUGAACGCUGGCGGCGUGCUUAACACAUGCAAGUCGAACGGAAAGGCUCCUGCUUGCAGGGGUACUCGAGUGGCGAACGGGUGAGUAACACGUGGGUGAUCUGCCCUGCACUUCGGGAUAAGCCUGGGAAACUGGGUCUAAUACCGGAUAGGACCACAUUCUGGAUGGUGUGGUGGAAAGUUUUUCGGUGUGGGAUGAGCUCGCGGCCUAUCAGCUUGUUGGUGGGGUAAUGGCCUACCAAGGCGUCGACGGGUAGCCGGCCUGAGAGGGUGUACGGCCACAUUGGGACUGAGAUACGGCCCAGACUCCUACGGGAGGCAGCAGUGGGGAAUAUUGCACAAUGGGCGCAAGCCUGAUGCAGCGACGCCGCGUGGGGGAUGACGGCCUUCGGGUUGUAAACUCCUUUCGCUAGGGACGAAGCGCAAGUGACGGUACCUGGAGAAGAAGCACCGGCUAACUACGUG